rnacentral:tRNA from 1 species
AAGUAAGAAGCAAAAUUUUGCAUUUAGUUUCGACCUAAAAAUUUGAUUUAAAAAUCCCUACUUA